GAUGAACGCUGGCGGCGUGCCUAAUACAUGCAAGUCGAGCGAAUGGAUUAAGAGCUUGCUCUUAUGAAGUUAGCGGCGGACGGGUGAGUAACACGUGGGUAACCUGCCCAUAAGACCGGGAUAACCCCGGGAAACCGGGGCUAAUACCGGAUAACAUUUUGAACCGCAUGGUUCGAAAUUGAAAGGCGGCUUCGGCUGUCACUUAUGGAUGGACCCGCGUAGCAUUAGCUAGUUGGUGGGGUAACGGCUCACCAAGGCAACGAUGCGUAGCCGACCUGAGAGGGUGAUCGGCCACACUGGGACUGAGACACGGCCCAGACUCCUACGGGAGGCAGCAGUAGGGAAUCUUCCGCAAUGGACGAAAGUCUGACGGAGCAACGCCGCGUGAGUGAUGAAGGCUUUCGGGUCGUAAAACUCUGUUGUUAGGGAAGAACAAGUGCUAGUUGAAUAAGCUGGCACCUUGACGGUACCUAACCAGAAAGCCACGGCUAACUACGUGCCAGCCGCCGCGGUAA
rnacentral:rRNA from 1 species